rnacentral:rRNA from 1 species
AUUGAACGCUGGCGGCAUGCCUUACACAUGCAAGUCGAACGGUAACAGGUUAAGCUGACGAGUGGCGAACGGGUGAGUAAUGUAUCGGAACGUGCCCAGUCGUGGGGGAUAACUACUCGAAAGAGUGGCUAAUACCGCAUACGACCUGAGGGUGAAAGCGGGGGACCGUAAGGCGUCGCGCGAUUGGAGCGGCCGAUAUCAGAUUAGCGAGUUGGUGGGGUAAAAGCCCACCAAGGCGACGAUCUGUAGCUGGUCUGAGAGGACGACCAGCCACACUGGGACUGAGACACGGCCCAGACUCCUACGGGAGGCAGUAGUGGGGAAUUUUGGACAAUGGACGCAAGUCUGAUCCAGCCAUGCCGCGUGCGGGAAGAAGGCCUUCGGGUUGUAAACCGCUUUUGUCAGGGAAGAAACGAGUUUCUCUAAUACAGAGACUUAAUGACGGUACCUGAAGAAUAAGCACCGGCUAACUACGUGCCAGCCGCCGCAGUAAAAC